ensembl:lncRNA
AUAAUCGACGGAAAGUGAUUGUCUCAUUGAUAAUCGACGGAAAGUGAUUGUCUCAUUGAUAAUCGACGGAAAGUGAUUGUCUCAUUGACAAUCGACGGAAAGUGAUUGUCUCAUUGACAAUCGACGGAAAGUGAUUGUCUCAUUGAUAAUCAAAGUGAACAGAAGCAAUGUAUGAUUUUUAAAAUUCAAACCCUGAUUUAAUAGCAAUAUUUUGAAUUGAACUUCAGACUUAAAGAUGUGUUUGUGAUGGAUAAUGUUUGCCCUACCUCUAACAAUACAUUGUGUUAUCUGUGCCAAAGCCUUGCUAUGCAUAUAGAAAAUGGCAACUUUUACAUGAGUCAUGAGUCACCCCCUAGAUCUCCUUUAGAGGUCAUCCACCGUUUCCAAAACAUACUGAUUCCUACAGCUGUCACCAUUCAGUUCCCAUAACAUACUGAAUCCUACAGCUGUCACCCUUCAGUUCCCAUAACAUACUGAAUCCUACAGCUGUCACCCUUCAGUUCCCAUAACAUACUGAAUCCUACAGCUGUCACCAUUCAGUUCCCAUAACAUACUGAAUCCUGUUCACAUGGUCCUGUGGUGGGGUAGUCUACUGGUGUUGCCCACAUGGUCCUGUGGUGGGGUAGUCUACUGGUGUUGUCCACAUGGUCCUGUGGUGGGGUAGUCUACUGGUGUUGUCCACAUGGUCCUGUGGUGGGGUAGUCUACUGGUGUUGUCCACAUGGUCCUGUGGUGGGGUGGUGGGGUAGUCUACUGGUGUUGUCCACAUGGUCCUGUGGUGGGGUAGUCUACUGGUGUUGUCCACAUGGUCCUGUGGUGGGUGGUGGGUGGUGGGGUAGUCUACUGGUGUUGUCCACAUGGUCCUGUGUUGGGGUAGUCUACUGGUGUUGUCCACAUGGUCCUGUGGUGGGGUGGUGGGGUAGUCUACUGGUGUUGUCCACAUGGUCCUGUGGUGGGUGGUGGGGUAGUCUACUGGUGUUGUCCACAUGGUCUUGUGGUGGGGUAGUCUACUGGUGUUGUCCACAUGGUCUUGUGGUGGGGUAGUCUACUGUCUGGUUGGAUAAUGUCAUUAUCUAUAAAGGUAAGAAGUCGAUUGUUUGUUUGAAGAGAAGCUUCCAGUCUGUUUCAUCACAAUGCUCUUAACGUCUUACCAGAAACAGGCUGACAGAUUCUUCUGGAGCUGGUAUCAUCUCUGCCUCAUCUCGAAAAGGAAGGAGACCUUAGCCUUGAUUUUCAGUUUUGGCCCGAUGGCGACAUCGGGAUUUUGAAAUUCAACGGAGGGAUGCAUUUUUUGUGGGACUAAUUGUUUGUUAUAAUCAAUCAAAGAAGCCUCCCGUGUGGCGCAGUGGUCUAAGCUACUGCAUCGCAGAGCUAGAAGUGUCAUUACAGACCCGGGUUCGAUCCCAGGCUGUGUCAUAGCUGGCCGUGACUGAAAGACCCGUGAGGCAGCACAUAAUUGGCCCAUUGUUGUUUGGGUUAGGAGAGGGUUUGGCAGGCCAAGAUUUCCUUGUCCCAUCGCUCUAGUGCCUCCUGUGGCAGACCAGGCGCAUGCACGCAGACACGGUCGCCAGGUGUACGGUGUUUCCUCCGACACAUUAAAGCAGCUGGUUUCCGGGGAUAAGCGGGCAUUGUGUCAAGAAACAGUGCUGCUUGGCAGGGUCGUGUUUCGACCUUCGCCUCUCCCGAGUCCUUAGGGGAGUUGCAGCGAUGGGACAAGACUGUUACUACCAAUUCAGAUAUCAUGAAAUUGGGGAGAAAAAAGGGGUAAAAAAAUAAAAAAUAAUUAUGUCUCUUGAUCUGCUCACGGGCCAUACUUUGCCCCCCCCCUCCCCCUUGCUCUAAGGUACAUGCAGGACCUCACAGGAGCCAAGUGCAGGCACCUUAAAUGUUCAACUGCUUGAGCUCUUGUUCCUAUAUUAUCUCAAAAGUAUUGUGGAGCUCCUGCAGCUAAAUAUAAGCAGUACUGGAAACCAACAUGAGUACCGACACCUACUUCAAUCCAUGUCAAGCACUGGGUUAUAUGGAAUAGCAAUUGUCUUACUCGUGAGAAUAGGACAUCCUAUCACAGUACACUGUCACAACACAACAUGCUUGUUUGUUUGAGGCCCUUUUAUUAUUGGUAAAGACAAAACAUUUAUUGGGAAAAUGGGAUAUAAUUGUGAAAAAUGGUAUCAAAUCAAAUUGUAUUUGUCACAUGUGCCAUAUAGAACAGAUGUAGACUUUACUGUGAAAUGCUUACUGACGAGCCCUUUACCAACAAUGCAGAAUUACAAAGUAAGAAUUGAAUGGUAAAGAAAAUGCAAUUGAAUUCUGCAUCGUUCUAUUGUCUUUCUAGUAUCAAUGUUCCACCAAACUCCAUGUCAGGUCAAUAUAAUAAUAUACAUACCCUGGUCUGGCUCUUGAUAUACUCUGGUCUGGCUCUUGAUAUACCCUGGCCUGUGUGCCAGCCUCUUGAGAUACCCUGGCCUGUGUGCCAGGCUCUUGAUAUACCCUGGCCUGUGUGCCAGGCUCUUGAGAUACCCUGGCCUGUGUGCCAGGCUCUUGAGAUACCCCGGCCUGUGUGCCAGGCUCUUGAGAUACCCUGGCCUGUGUGCCAGGCUCUUGAGAUACCCUGGCCUGUGUGCCAGGCUCUUGAGAUACCCCGGCCUGUGUGCCAGGCUCUUGAGAUACCCUGGCCUGUGUGCCAGGCUCUUGAGAUACCCUGGCCUGUGUGCCAGGCUCUUGAGAUACCCUGGCCUGUGUGCCAGGCUCUUGAGAUACCCUGGCCUGUGUGCCAGGCUCUUGACAACUUCUUAUGGAAUUGUCUUUAAGCUUGAAAAUGACAUUGGAGUUGGCAAAAGCACAGGGACCAGGCUAUAUACAGUGCCUUCGGAAAAUAUUCAGACCCCUCGACUUUUUCCAAAUUUUGUUACGUUACACCCUUAUUCUAAAAUGUAUAAAAUAAAAAUGUACAUAAAGUACCAGUCAAACAUUUGGACACACCUACUCAUUCAAGCUUUUUUCUUUAUUUUGACUAUUUUCUACAUUGUAAAAUAAUAGUGAAGACAUCAAAACUAUGAAAUAACACACAUGGAAUCAUGUAGUAACGAAAAGUGUUAAACAAAUGAAAAUAUAUUUGAGAUUCUUCAAAGUAGCCACCCUUUGCCUUGAUGACAGUUUUGCACUCUUGGCAUUCUCUCAACCAGCUUCAUGAGGUAGUCACCUGGAAUGCAUUUCAAUUAACAGGCGUGCGCUGUUAAAAGUGAAUUUGUGAAAUUUCUUUCCUUUUUAAUGCGUUUGAGCCAAUCAGUUGUGUUGUGACAAGGUAGGGGAGGUAUACAGAAGAUAGCCCUAUCUGGUAAAAGACCAAGUCUAUAUGAUGGCAGGAACAGCUCAAAUAAGAGAAAUGACAGUCCAUCAUUAUUUUAAAACAUGAAAGUCAGUCAAUACGAAACAUUUCAAGAACUUGAUGAAACUGGCUCUCAUGAGGACCUCCACAUGAAAGGAAGACCCAGAGUUACCUCUGCUGCAGAGGAUAAGUUCAUUGGAGUGGUAUUUCAGUUUUGAUGUCUUCACUAUUAUUCUACAAUGUAGAAGAUAGUAAAAUGAAAAGAAAAACCCUUGAAUGAGUAGGUGCUCUAAAACUUUUGACCGGUAGUGUAUAUGUCUUGGACCAGGCUAUAUAUGUAUGUCUGUAUCUUUUCUGUUGACAAUUUAUCAGUGUAUCAUAUUUUCUUUAUUUCUUGAUGUGCAUAACUGUUGGCUGACCAGCCGUGCCUGACUUGGGCAGGAGCUCUGUUGGCUGACCAGCCGUGCCUGACUUGGGCAGGAGCUCUGUUUGCUGACCAGCCGUGCCUGACUUGGGCAGGAGCUCUGUUGGCUGACCAGCCGUGCCUGACUUGGGCAGGAGCUCUGUUGGCUGACCAGCCGUGCCUGACUUGGGCAGGAGCUCUGUUGGCUGACCAGCCGUGCCUGACUUGGGCAGGAGCUCACUGGAGCUGAGUACCAGCACCUCAAAUGUCCCUCUUAUCGAAUAUUAGCUGAAAUUUAUUGUGAAGCUCCUGCACCUGAAUAUAAACAGUACCGGCACCUAUUUCAGUCCAUGUCAAGCACAGCUGGGCAGCGUGGGAGGGAGGGGCUAGCGCUGUUGGUUUUAUAUAGAGAAAGAUAGCUCUGGUCCAGGUUGUGGUUUGGUAAUGUUCUCAAAGUCGCCCUGGACCAGAGCUAUAGACAUUAACACGUCCAUUAUAGAUGUAGUGUAUCUCUGCUUUGGUGAACGACAAUAUAAGCUCUUUGUCUUACUUUAUACGUUUGUACUUCUGUG